UUAGCUGAUGCAGAAGGAGCUAAGAAACAUGGUAUGAUCGAGUUGUUGAAGUCAUAUGGUGGCCUAUCUUAUGGGCAAGAUGGAAGCCAUUUUGAACCAAAGGCUGUUCCACCUCCUUUGCCAAAGAAGUGUGACUGGGAAAUUGAUCCUACUGAGCUGGAUUUCUCUAACUCAGCAAUUAUUGGGAAGGGGUCUUUUGGUGAAAUAAUAAAAGCUUGUUGGCGUGGAACACCUGUAGCUGUUAAACGCAUUCUCCCAAACCUUUCAGAUGAUCAAUUGGUGAUUCAGGAUUUCAGACAUGAGGUAAAUUUGCUGGUGAAG
rnacentral:misc_RNA from 1 species